CUGGGACUACAGGCGCCCGCCACCACACCUGGCUAAUUUUUUGUAUUUUGAGUAGAGACAGGUUUUCACCAUGUUAGCCAGGAUGGUCUCGAUCUCCUGACCUUGUGAUCCGCCCGCCUCAGCCUCCCAAAGUGCUAGGAUUACAGGCAUGAGCCACCGCGCCGGGCCUGAAUAAAAGCCAUUUUAAGUGCUCGUUUAGUAUCAUGCAGGCUCUUGUCCUGCAGGAAUUCUCAUAAUAACCUUUUGUGAUGAACAAAUUGAGGCUGAAGAGAGGCUAAACGGGCUCCAAGACACACAGACAGUCCUCUCUGCUCCACCACCUCCUUGAAGAGUUGAGCAUCGUAAAGAAGAAAUACCUUUGAUAAAGCUGCCUGGGAGGGAGCAAGCAUGGUAUGUCCUGGGAACUUGCAGUGGUUUGGCAAGAUCUGAAGGCAGGGUACUGGGGGAGAGGCAGCUGAGCAGUGGGUGAGGCGAGAUCCUUCCACUCCCAGCAAAGGCAGUGUGAGAUUCGCUGACUAAAGUCUAGCAACUGAAGUGAGGCACGGGUCAACUUCCAUUGGAGAGGUGGCCACCAGAGCCAAAUCCCACAGAGAGUUCAUAAGGACUGGAGAUGACCCCUAGCUAUGGUAAUUAUGGACCACAGCAGGGAUGCUUUCCCACGGGUGGAGGCAGAGAUGAGCAGAACACAGACCUUGAGCUGAGGUCUCCCGGCCUGUUUUCCAUGGUGGUGAACUAAAGAUGCCAACUGUCUUGAAAACAACCUGCAUCCCGCUUCCAGGGGAGGGUCAUGUGAAUGCCAGUGUGACUGGGUCUUGGGUAGUCUCAGCAGACACAGAGCAGAAGGAAGGCUAUCGUUGGAGUGGGCCAUCUUGGACAUAGAUCCUUGUACUUUCUGGCAAGCCUAAAAUCUUGGCAGUGAUGAUAACAAGGAAGUUAACAUCUACAAUUUCUUCAUGUAAAGUUUGAUCAUGCAGGGGAUGCCCAAAAUUGGAAGGAUGCUUUUCUCCUACUGCAUUCUAGCUUCUUACUAAAAAGUGGCCCACACUCAUAGUGGCUCAGAAGCUUCAAACCUCCUCAAAUCCCCAGCUUUGUCGAAAUGAUGGGACUAUCCCUGCUGUGUCACAAACCAAAUCAAACACCUAUGACACAGCACAGUGUAAUGGCUCUACUAAACAUUUCUUUCCUUUGGACAGCUUGGUCAAUAUGGUCUGGGUUAUUGGACACACAGUCCUGGAAUAUCCUGCUGUUAUUUGCUGCAUUUUUCCACCUGCAUGAUAAAAAUGUAUUCCCACAGCCUUGGGUUCAUUCUGAUUUUGUUUUGAUUAUUGGAAGUUGCGUUGGUGCUUUUUAAAAUGAGAUAGACCUUCAAAGGGAGCCAGGGAACGAGAAAUGAAACACAGGUAUGGAGGCAUCUACGAAUAAAGCACACAACUUUAUUCACGAAGUUGUGAGUAUGACAGUGAUGCAGAGUAUAUGACAAAGGAGUG
rnacentral:lncRNA from 10 species